rnacentral:rRNA from 1 species
AGUGAACGCUGGCGGUAGGCCUAACACAUGCAAGUCGAACGGCAGCACAGUAAGAGCUUGCUCUUACGGGUGGCGAGUGGCGGACGGGUGAGGAAUAUAUCGGAAUCUACUUUUUCGUGGGGGAUAACGUAGGGAAACUUACGCUAAUACCGCAUACGACCUACGGGUGAAAGCAGGGGAUCUUCGGACCUUGCGCGAUUGAAUGAGCCGAUGUGGGAGUAGCUAGUUGGCGGGGUAAAGGCCCACCAAGGCGACGAUCCGUAGCUGGUCUGAGUGGAUGGUCGGCCACACUGGAACGGAGACACGGUCCAGAGGCCUACGGGAGGCAGCAGUGGGGAAUGUGAGACAACGGUCGCAAGUCUGAUCCAGCCAGACCGCGUGGGUGAAGAAGGCCUUCGGGUUGUAAAGCCCUUUUGUUGGGAAAGAAAAGCAGCAGGUUAAUACCCCGCUGUUCUGACGGUACCCAAAGAAUAAGCACCGGCUAACUUCGUG